rnacentral:rRNA from 1 species
UGGGGAAUAUUGGACAAUGGGGGAAACCCUGAUCCAGCAAUGCCGCGUGAGUGAAGAAGGCCUUAGGGUUGUAAAGCUCUUUCAGCGGGGAAGAUGAUGACGGUACCCGCAGAAGAAGCCCCGGCUAACUCCGUGCCAGCAGCCGCGGUAAUACGGAGGGGGCUAGCGUUGUUCGGAAUUACUGGGCGUAAAGCGCACGUAGGCGGUGGUGCAUGUCAGAUGUGAAAGCCCUGGGCUUAACCUAGGAAUUGCAUUUGAAACUGCGCCGCUAGAGGCCGGAAGAGGGUAGUGGAAUUCCCAGUGUAGAGGUGAAAUUCGUAGAUAUUGGGAAGAACACCAGUGGCGAAGGCGGCUACCUGGUCCGGUUCUGACGCUGAGGUGCGAAAGCGUGGGGAGCAAACAGGAUUAGAUACCCCCGUAGUCC